rnacentral:snoRNA from 1 species
AUCCUUCCGGUUCAGCGCGAAUGAUGAAUGGGAGUGGCACGCGGCUGCGUGACGUGUGCGCCCUGACGUUACGACGUGGCACACAUGGACCCAUCUGAGC